GCUUGCUCCCGGAGUGUUAGCGGCGGACGGGUGAGUAACACGUGGGUAACCUGCCUGUAAGACUGGGAUAACUCCGGGAAACCGGAGCUAAUACCGGAUAGUUCCUUGAACCGCAUGGUUCAAGGAUGAAAGACGGUUUCGGCUGUCACUUACAGAUGGACCCGCGGCGCAUUAGCUAGUUGGUGGGGUAAUGGCUCACCAAGGCGACGAUGCGUAGCCGRCCUGAGAGGGUGAUCGGCCACACUGGGACUGAGACACGGCCCAGACUCCUACGGGAGGCAGCAGUAGGGAAUCUUCCGCAAUGGACGAAAGUCUGACGGAGCAACGCCGCGUGAGUGAUGAAGGUUUUCGGAUCGUAAAGCUCUGUUGUUAGGGAAGAACAAGUGCGAGAGUAACUGCUCGCACCUUGACGGUACCUAACCAGAAAGCCACGGCUAACUACGUGCCAGCAGCCGCGGUAAUACGUAGG
rnacentral:rRNA from 1 species